AUUUAGGUGGGCACUAUAGAAUACUCAAGCUAUGCAUCCAACGCGUUGGGAGCUCUCCCAUAUGGUCGACCUGCAGGCGGCCGCACUAGUGAUUCCUACGGGAGGCAGCAGUGGGGAAUAUUGCACAAUGGGCGCAAGCCUGAUGCAGCCAUGCCGCGUGUAUGAAGAAGGCCUUCGGGUUGUAAAGUACUUUCAGCGGGGAGGAAGGUGUUGAGGUUAAUAACCUCAGCAAUUGACGUUACCCGCAGAAGAAGCACCGGCUAACUCCGUGCCAGCAGCCGCGGUAAUAAUCCCGCGGCCAUGGCGGCCGGGAGCAUGCGACGUCGGGCCCAAUUCGCCCUAUAGAGGUCCGUAUUAA
rnacentral:rRNA from 1 species